AGCCCGAAGAGGCCGAGAAGGAUCCUCCUCGAGAGCCGUCAGAGGGAGCACGGCCUGCCGACACCGUGAUCUGGGACUCUCGGCCUCCCAACCUGUGAGACAGUACGUCGCUGUUGUUCUAAACCAAGUUUUGUGGGAACUAACACACGCAGGCAGUCCGUGCUGGAGCUGAGAUUCCGACUGAGGCCCUCUGGUCCCAGACCCCCCGCCCCAUAGGAGGCCAGCGGCCAGCUCAGUGCUGGGACACGGUGUAGCUCACCUGUGCGGGGGUGGAGGCGGCAGCUAAGAACUCCGCCGAGAGGCAAUGGGCAACAUUUAUUGUUUGGCCGUCCACAUUCUCAGAAGACUAAAAAUACAAAGAAAGAUGACAAACAUCUCCAACAAGACCAAAACUGUCGCCUGACUCCCCAGCCUGCAGCAACAGAACAGUGCAUCCUGAACACCGCGUACCGCAGAGAGGGGCAGGCGUGUCCAUCGUUCUCUUCUUCCAACCGACAUUCCACUCCGGGCGGAGGGGGCGAUGAGCCUAUCACAUUCCAUCAAGAAGUUAAUUGCUUUGCUGCUCCAGCCAAGUGGAAUGAGGCCAGAGGGAAAAGGUCUUCCCAGGUGGGGCAGCUGAGAGGCCUUCUGCAAACCCACCCUCCUCAAGCCUCUGCACACCCCAGGGGCAGCGCUGGGCCCCAGACUCGGGUGCUGGGAGCUGGACAGAAGCACAGCCCACACCCUGCCCCAGGAGGAGGGUCUGCACCACUGAUCUUGAGCAGCCAGCCUCAAAUGGAGGUGCUGGUGAGCGAGGGCAGGGGACACACGAGCAAUAUCAUUCACUAAAUCAGUGGAGCCCAACAAACAUUUGUUAAUCACCUGCUGAGUUCAAGGAGUUAAAGUGCAAAGGCAGUUAUUGUUUUACUCUGAUGCUUUUGCAAAUAUGCUUCAUCUUCAAAGGGAUUCAUAUAAAGUACUCUAGAAUGCCAGUUUCAAAUAACUUUCAGAUCAUACCAUUGAACUGGGUAAGGAUUUGCAGAACACUAACAAAGAAACUGAUGGCUUCAUAAAACUGCUAACAAAAGAUCAAGAUACAAGGAAAUGUUUUUUCUCCUAAGCCAACAAUGACCUACAGCAAUUUGUUAAAUUAUACCUUUGUAAGCAGAAUCGAAAUAUUUCUCUUUUUCUCCUUACCUAAUCCCUCCAGAAUUUGGAAACUCUUAGGCUAACUUUAGGAGUCCACCUGCAUCACUGCCUUCCAAAAUGAGUUUAACCAAACUGACCUACUGUCAGGAUU
rnacentral:lncRNA from 1 species